rnacentral:lncRNA from 10 species
CACAGAACAACUUCUGUUUUCUCAUUUUCAAGAAAAGAGAAAAUGAUAGACCUAUCUGUCUAACAGAUUUGUGAGGUUUGAAUGAGAUAAAGGAAUUAAUAUUGCUUUGAAAAAGUGUCAAUUUGCCAGAUAAAUAUACAUUUCUAUGAUUAUUGUGUUAUUAAUCCAGACCUCUUUGUCAUAUUUGGGACAAUAGUCAUUCAGCUAAAGGCUCAGUUUCCAGAGUCCAAUUGCCUAGUUCCUUCACAUCCUUGUUCUCCUUAUGGACAGAGUAGACUUUACCAAGUGACUUUACUUUUCUGUACCUCAUUAGAUAAUGAUACCUGAAUCAUAAGGUUAUUGGGAGAACUAAAUGAAGUAAUAUAUAUAUUUUUAAAGCCCUGAGAACAUAAGACUAAAAAGUUGUUUUAUUGUUUUUGUUGUUACUGUUGUUAUUAUUAGCCCAUGAUCCAGCCAUAAUAAUAAUACUUGAACAUAUUCUUUUUUGUUCCACUCAAAUUCUUGUGAUGUAAACUUUAGCCAGCGACAAAAGAGAAGCUGUUAAAAUUGGCUCUCCAAAUAGGUUUUAAAAACAUACUUCUUAUUUGCCUGCAUAGUACUGAACUCUUUUUCAGCAAUAGAUGCCUCAACAGAAAAAUGGAAAUCUGAAGUAAAAUUCAUUAUGGCUGUUCCAGAAAAUACACAUUUCUUCCUCCAAAUGGUUAGUGAAUGAAUUAUUUGUUUCCUGGGAAGUAACUUUAAAAUUAGGGCAAUUCUAACCUUGUGGCCUAUAUCUAUAAAUGAAUGUGAGGUUAAUUUGUUCUUUGCAAGUUUCUAAUUUUAACCAAAACUGUACCAUCUAGGAAAGGUAGGCAAAUCAAGAAAAUUGAAACACGGUUAAGGAGUAAUUUUGAUGAAAUGUAGUCACCUCAUUAGCUGUUGUCCUCUAGUCUAUUGAUAGGUAGAUCAGGAUUAUCUGACUUUCUGCUGAGACAGGAAAUCUACCAAUGUAGAUUUCUCUCACGUUAAAUACGUAUUUUUUCCCAAAUCAACUUUCUUUUCCUAAAAAUUUGCACCUCCUCCAUGUACUUGAGAGUGGAAAGGGCUGACAUCUUGGGAAUUAUUUAAAUUUUUCAAGAGUAUAGGAAAUCACAUUUCAACUUUCCACUGGCAAAAAAUCUAACUUGUAUUUUCAGUUCUAAAUAAAGGAAGAUUUUUUAAAGAUGUACAUUUAAUUUCACUGUUGAUAGCAGUGCAAAUCUAUCCAGUUGUAAAAGAGGGAGCAUUUAGAAUAGUGGACAAUGGUAAUUGAUCAAAAAAGUUAUGGUCACAGGUAAGUAAGAUGAGAAAGUAACAACCUAAUUGAAAAUUAUAGAGGCCAACUCUCUAGUUUCCAACAAGUAAGAAGAAAAACCUUAUCUUUUUUGGUGACUUACAAGUGUUUCUUUCAUUGAAUCAAAGGAGGGGAGGAAAGAUGAAAUUCUUAAUUAAUCAUGUAAUUGUGUUGUAAUAUUUAGUUACUAGGCUUUAUCUGUUAAGAUUUAGAAAUAAAAAUAAAAGACUACAAUUAUAAUAGCAUAGGUUUAUUUAAAUAUUUCUAAAAUGCUCUUAAGUUUGUAAACUCACAGAAAAUUUUAGACACACAGGUAUACCUCAGAGAUAUCAAGGGUUUGGUUCGAUACUGAAUAUCAUAACAAAAAUAAGUUAUAGAAUUUUUUUUUGUUUUCACAGUGCAUAUAAAAUUAUGUAUAUACUAUACUGUAGUCUAUUACAUGUGCAAUAAGAUUAUGUCCAAAAAAUAGACAUAUCAUACUUUAAAAAGUACUUUAGUGCUAAAAAAUGCUAAUAAUCUUCUGAGCCUUCAGUGAGUGAUAAUCUUUUUGCUGGUGGGGGGUCUUGCCUCAGUGUUGAUGGCUGCUGACUGAUUAGGGUGGUGGUAGCUUGAAGGUUGCAGUGGCUAUGACAAUUUCUUAAAACACCAUAACAACAAAGUUUGCUGGAUUGAUGGACUCUUUCUUUCAUGAAAGAUUUCUCUCUGGUAUGUGAUGCUGUUUGAUAGCAUUUUACCCACUGUAGAAAUUCUUUUGAAACUAGAGUCAUUGCUUUAUCAACUAAGUUUAUGGAAUAUCCUAAAUCCUUUGUCAAAAUAAUGACCUAAACAGUGUUCACAGCAUCUUGGUCAGGAGUAGAUUCCAUUCCAUAAAACCACAUUCUUUGCUCAUUCAUAAAAAGUGAAUUCUCAUCCAUUAAAGUUUUAUCAUGAGAAUGCAGCAAUUCAGUCACAUCUUUAGGCUUUACUUCUAAUUCUAGCUCUCUUGAUAAUUCUUCCAUAUCUGCAGUUACUUUCUCCACUGAAAUUUUGAACCCCUUAAAGUCAUCCAUGAGGGUUGAAAUCAGCUUCUUUCAAACUCGUGUUAAUAUUGAUGAUAUUUUGACCUCUUCGCAUGAAUCAGGAAUGUUAUUAAUGGCAUCUAGAAUAGUGAAUCCUUAUUAGAAAGUUUUUAAUUUACUUUGCCCAGAUCCAUCAGAGGAGUCAUUAUCUAUAGCAGCUAGAGCCUUAUAAAAAGUAUUACUUAAAUAAUUAGGCUUAAAGUUGACAUUGUUCCUUGAUCUAUGGGCUACGAAAUGGAUGUUGUGUUAGCAGGCAUACAAACGACAUUAAUCUUCUAGUGCAUCUGCAUCAGAGCUCUUGAAUGACUAGGUACAUUGUCCAUGAGCAGUGAUACUCUGAAAGAAAUAUUUUCUGAGUAGUAGUUCUCAACUGUGGGCUUAAAAUAUUCAGUAAACCAUGCUGUAAACAGAUAUUUUGUAAUCCAAGCUUUGUUGUUCCAUUUAUAGGGCACAGGCAGAGUAGAUUUAGCACAAUUCUUAAGGCUCCUAGGAUUUCUGCAAUGGUAAAUUGAGCCUUGUCUUCAACUCAAAGUCACCAGCUGCAUUAGCCCCUAACAAGACAGUAAACCUGUGUUUUGAAGCUUUGAAGCUAGGCACUGACUUCUCCUCCCUAGUUGCAAAAGCCCUAGAUGGCAUCUUCCUCCAAUGUAGAUGUAAAGUUGUUUCAUCUACAUUGAAAAUCAGUUGUUAGCAUAGCCACCUUCAUCGAUGAUCUUAACUAGGACUUCUGGAUAACUUGCUGCAGCUUCUCCAUCAGCACUUCCUACUUUACCUUACACUUUUAUGUUACUGAGAUGGUGUUUUUCCUUAAACUUCAUGAACCAACUUUUGCUAGCUUCUAACUUUUCUUCUGCAGCUUCUUCACAUCUAUCAGACUUCACAGAAUUGAAGAGAGUUAGAAUCUUGCUCUGGAUUAGGCUUUGGCUUUUAAGGGAAUGUUGAGACCGGUUUGAUCUACUCAAACUACUGAAAUUUUUCUCCACAUCAUAAAUAAGGCUAUUUUGCUUUUUUAUUAUUAAUAUGUUCACUGGGGUAGCACUUUUAAUUUCCUUCAAGAACUUUUCCUUUGCAUUUACAACUUGACUAACUGACACAUAAGGCUUAGUUUUUGGUCCAUCUCAGCUUUUGUCAUGCCUUCCUCACUAAGCUUAAUCAUGUCUACCUUUGAUUUAGAGUGAGAGAUAUGCAACUCUUUCACUUGAAUACUUGGAGGCCAUUGUAGUGUUUUUAAUUGGCCCGAUUUUAAUGUUGUUGUAUCUUAGGGAACAGGGAUGUCUAAGGAAAGGGAGAGAGAUAGAGGAAUGGGCAGUCAGUGGGGUGGUCAGAACACACACAAUAUUUAUCUAUUAAGUUUUCUAUCUUACAUGGGUAUGGUUUGUGAUGCCCCAAAGUAAUUACAAUAGUAACGUCGAAGAUCACUGAUCCAGAUUAUCAUAGCAGAUAUAAUAAGAAAACAUUUGAAAUAUGGUGAGAAUUACCAAAAUGUGACACAGAGACACAAAGGGAGCUCAUGUUGUUUGAAAAAUGGCACCCAAGGAAUUGCUAGUCACAAGGCUGCUAUAAUUCCUUCAAUUUGUUAAAAAAAGUAAUAUCUGUGAAGUAAAAUUUAAAUAAAAAUGAAGCACAAUAAAAUGAGAUAUGCUUGUAUACACUUUUCAGAAUAUUGUCUGUGACAUCUCUGCAUUCAGCAUAGAGAAAAGACAGCUUAUAAUAUUUAUUAAUUUUUUUAGCACAAAAAUGUCAUCUAUUAUUCCUUUUUUUUUGAGAUAAAUUAUUUCAUUAAUCCAUCUACCACAAUGUUUCAGAAGUCAAGCAGGUAUGUCAAGAAUAGGAUAGGUGAAAAGGUAGUCACUGAAGGAACUUCAAUGGCAGGAGAAAGAAGGAGAGCUCUCUCUAUGAGCAUUGCAGAACCUGCUGAUUUUACAAAUAUGGCAGCUAUGCCUCAGCAAAUUAUAAGCAAUAAUGAAUUAGUUAAUUUUCUUCUGUGAAAACUGCUAUGUUCCAGAGUUUGAAUGUAUUUCUUUACAUGAAGAGGACCUAGGGAUGAAAAAGUGAAUUCAGUUUUGUUUUAUAAUUUCUCACCUCUCAGCACAUCAGAAGUAAAUAUUGGCCCUGCACACUUGGAUCCUUCUAAGCAGUGGAUGCUUCUGUCAGGCUGAGACUAAGCUUUGUAGAAGAGGAGGAAGACAAGAGCUACCAUCUGGAGAGCAGAACGUUUUGGGAAGCCAUCAAAGGCAAAGAACCUAAGAAUCCAGGAAGAUCUUGAACUAUUACCCUUUACUUUAAUUUUUAAUCAUGGAAAUAUUUGCUUGGAAAAGAGACUGUGUCUACAAUGGCAACCAUUUUUAUAUUCAGAAAUUUGCCAUGUAAAAUAAUUGAAUGUCAGAUGAAGAACUGCCUGUCAUAUUUUGCUAUUAAAAUAAUAUAUUUUUAUGCAUAACCUGACCUGCCUUUGUGAGUUACUGUAGCCUGUGGUCUCUCUGCAAGAUUUUCCAAUGGGAUUUUUAAUAAUAUUCCGAUGUUUGCCAUCUUAAGCAGUGCAAGCUGUUAAACUCAAUUUGUGAAAAAAAAAAAAUCAGGUAUAAAACCAGAUAAUCUGUAUCCCUUUGGAAUCAAAAGUCACUUUGCCAAAAUAUUUUAACACGCAAAAUUGCUUCUUGAGAGAUGUUUGUCAUGAUAAAAUGACAGAAAACUACAUUUCCAUUAUAAUUAUAACUGACUCGUGGUGCUAAGUUUUUAUAAUUUAAAGGUAUUCUCAACUCUGACAGCCCUUCCAUGUUGAAUUAUGCAUCUCAGGCUCUUAAAUAGUUCUGCUGGCACGAGACAGCUGAGAUGAAGUUGUCUUUCUAAAAUAAUUGCUCCAUGGAGCAUCCAUUAUACCUUCAGAAAAAAUGUAUUACUUGACUUCUACAAAUUAUAGACUAGCCUAUAAUGGGUAUUUUUGACAGCUAUUAGCUUUAAAAAAAUCUGAACAGUAAAAUGAGUAUUGAUAUCACAAUGGUGUACCGUGCAUGUUAAUACCAACCUUCUCUGUACUUUCCUCCUAAAGCAUGAUGUAAUCAUUAAUUAUAAUAAUAUUGAUAUAACUGCACUCAUGUUAAAAACAUAGUAUUGGCAAAGUAUGUAAUUUUCUCGCCUAUAAGAUAAAAAGCAUUAAAUGAAUAUUUACAGUAGAUUUUGAAGACACUGUCCAAGCUUGAAAGAUAAAAAGUGAAUUCAUUUUUGGCAAUAUUUUUCUUAAUCAUGAGAUUAUUAAGUGUAUUUUUAAAACAUGAAUGAGACAAUAAUCAAUGAAUAAUAGAGGUAAUAAUUUUAUUCCUCAGAUUCUUCUUCAAAAUGUUGAACACUGGUAAAAACAUAAUUUAUCAAUAAAUUUUAGAAAUGUUUUCCAUUUCUUAUCAAGAAUUUUAUGCAUCAUUUAGUUCUUAAACCAGUUCUAAUUUUUUAAAUAAAAACACUUGAAAACAUUCUUGCAGGAACAUUGCAUCCCACAGAACAACAAUAAUCCAAUUAUUAAAAUCUAGAAUGGAAACAAUAUUGAUAGAAAUAAAAGUAAAGGGUCAUUUUCUUUACUGUUUCCAUUUGUACCAAUUAAUUCCAGUUCUAUGAAAUAAAAUAUUUGUGGUUAAAUUUAGGGAAAUUCUAUGCAAAUUUAAAGUUUUCUGUGAUAAACAAAUAUAAGGUAAAUAUUUUCCUAGUGUAUUGCAUUGCCAGGGCCUUUUUUUUUUUUUUAAUGUGACUACAGAGAAAGAAAUGGCUUAAUUUCCUACGUCUCCCCUGAAUAAACAGUUCACAGACCCAGACACAUAUGGACACAUACCUCCUACCUGAAAAAUAAAAAAGUUACAAUAUAUCACUAACUUAACAUUAAUUAACACAUCAAUCCAUAGUGUAGCAACUGCCUAGUCUGUGCUACUUUGCCAAGUACUGAUCAGACAGUUCUUACUCACAAUUAUUCCUUAUUAACCGUAUCCUAGAGGUUCAUUCUUCUAUACAUGGCCAGAGCCAAAAUUACCCAGAUACGUGGUCUUUACAAAUUCCCUUGGAUUUAAAUUCAUCCUCCCCUCUCAGGCUAACAGUAGAGAGACAAUUCCUGGGCUAAGUCCCUGCACUCGUUUUCUUUUGUGUUAGGGAUUUGGUUGGAUGAUGAGGACGGGUGGGAAGUUAGAGGGAAACAUAAUACAGUUUUAGUGCAUCUUUCCAAUUCUCAUGUCUUACUUUUAUGUCUCUUAUUCAAAUGAAGUUAGAAGACUAUAAAGUUAAAGAGAUAGAGAAAUAUUUAGAAAUAAAUAUUUAACCAUUGUCUUAAAAGAACAAGAGUAGGAGGGAAGGAAGUAGAAAGAAACAGGUGACAGAGACUUUAUACUUCACUAUGCAUUAGUCACACCCUUUAUACUGGGUCCAAUGGGUACAAUCCAAAGUAGAGAAAAAUGCUCUAGUGUUGGGAUUAAUAGUUUACGUUAAGGUUACCACAAUUGUUUAUGACAAUCUAAGUUAAAAAAAUCUCUUUUAUAUAUUCUUUGCAGCUGAUAUUAUAUUAAACAUUAACACACUUCUUUUUACUGGGUAAGAAAUUUUGAUAGCAUGAGAUUUUGAUUUUUUAAAUAUUUAUUGUAGUCACAAAUUAUUAAAUUACGAACAAAAAUUAUUUAUCUGUUUACACAAUUGAGGCAUUAUAGAUGGAGUUAUCAAACAAGUAUCUCCCCAAAGCAAAACCACUUAUAGUAACAAAAGGAUGAUUUUUAUUUCAAGGGACUUAAAUAAUGUAUUUCUACAUCCUUAAAACUCAUCGAAAAUUGGGUUUAUGGGUUUUUAAUUGGAAAGACUACCAAGUGGUGAACACUAUCUGCUGGGAAGAACCUGUGUCUAUAAUAUUCUUUCAAAAACCCGUGUCAUUCCUGUGUUUACUAUGAAUAAAAUUCAACAUGUAUAUUAUCUGUUUGUGUGGUAUUUACAUAAAAUGUGAAAAUUAUACACAAAAUCACCUGUGAAAAUGCAAUGGAAUUUUGCAUGAUUUUAGUUACUACUUUUGAUUUUUCUAUAGCCUUCACAUUUUACACAAUACAAAUAAGUUUUUAUUUACUUUAUGUAAGCAAU